GACAGAGGGUGCAAACGUUGCUCGGAAUCACUGGGCGUAAAGGGCGUGUAGGCGGGAAGGAAAGUCAGAUGUGAAAUCCCCAGGCUCAACCUGGGAACUGCAUUUGAAACUCCCUUUCUUGAGUACCGGAGAGGAAAGUGGAAUUCCUGGUGUAGAGGUGAAAUUCGUAGAUAUCAGGAGGAAUACCAAAGGCGAAGGCAGUGUCCUGGCUGGCAUCUGACGCUGAGGCGCGAAAGCUAGGGGAGCGAACAGG
rnacentral:rRNA from 1 species